CUGAAGUUUCUAGUUACUGGAGAAAAUUGCCUCUCCCCUUCUUCUUUCACUUGGAAAAAUCGCUGUGUUGGGAUAAUUAUGAUUCAUCCUUUGAUCUGUCUCUAUAUCUGCAGAGCAUAAAUAGCGUUGGCUGUACAGCCACAAGGCGGUGUACCCAGCAUGGCUGACAGGCCUAGGAGACAGUGUAUUCUCAGGGCCAAAAAGUGUUGGAAGGACCAGUCAGAAUGAGAAAAACAGAAAAAUAC
rnacentral:lncRNA from 1 species